AGAGUUUGAUCCUGGCUCAGGAUGAACGCUGGCGGCGUGCAUAACACAUUCAAGUCGAACGGAGUCAAUGCCUACGGGGAUUGACUUAGUGGCGGACGGGUGAGUAACGCGUGAGCAACCUGCCUUUCAAGAAGGGAUAACACAGGGAAACUUGUGCUAAUACCGUAUGAGAUAACGACACUGCAUGGUGAUGUUAUUAAAGGAGAGAUCCGAUGAAAGAUGGGCUCGCGUCCGAUUAGG
rnacentral:rRNA from 1 species